rnacentral:rRNA from 1 species
GAUGAACGCUGGCGGCGUGCCUAAUACAUGCAAGUCGAGCGAACGGACGAGAAGCUUGCUUCUCUGAGGUUAGCGGCGGACGGGUGAGUAACACGGGGAUAACCUACCUAUAAGACUGGGAUAACUUCGGGAAACCGUAGCUAAUACCGGAUAAUUAUUUGAACCUCAUGGAUCAAAAGUAGAAGUAGGUCUUGCUGGAACGUAUUGCUGGAUCCGCGCUGCAUUAGCUAGUUGGUAAGGUAAAGGCUUACCAAGGCAACGAUGCAUAGCCGCCCUGAGAGGGUGAUCGGCCACACUGGGACUGAGACACGGUACAGACUCCUACAGGCGGCAGCAGUACGGAAACUUCCGCAAGGGGCGAAAGACUGACGGAGCAACGCCGCGAGAGUGAUGAAGGUCUUCGGAUCGUAAAACUCUGUUAUUCGGGAAGAACAUAUGUGUAAGUAACUGUGAACAUCUUGACGGUACCUACUCAGAAAGCCACGGCUAACUACGUG